AAUGGCUGUUCUUGCUUUGGUGAAUCCGGCGGUGGCGGCGGCGGUGGUGGUGUUGUUGAAAUGGCUGGGAAAAGAGGCUGGUGGAGAAUUCUCCUGUUUUUUUCAUGGUUGAGUGAAUCUUGGGGGUUGGUUUCUCCUCUGAGUGAUGUGAUGAUCAAGAAAAUGAUGAUGGUUUGAUGAAGAAAGAGAAGAGAGACUGUAACAUGAAGAAAAUGUGAGUGGGAUUUAUCAGUUAUGUCAUCAAGCAGCAACCUUAACUUUACUUACUCAAUAUUAUUAUGCAGGUAUUAUUUAAUUUAAAUCUUUUUUUUUAAUAUUUAUUACAACAAACUUAGUAUUUAUUACGUCAAGAGCAUAUGCAUGUAUAGACUAGUUCUUGGCUUUCAUUUAUCAUCAUAGUAUAAAAAUAAAAAAAGUACAAAUACCUCAUU